rnacentral:lncRNA from 1 species
CGCAUCCCAAACACUCUUGCUGUUCCUAAAAAGUAUCCCCGAAGGUUGUUAUUUCAAUGUGAUUGGUUUUGGAAGCCGCUAUGAACAUCUGUUUCCCGAGAGUGUGGCCUACAAUCAGAAAAAUUUGGACAUUGCAGUAAAAUAUGCAGAAAACCUACGAGCGAACUUUGGCGCCACGGAACUAUUUGACCCUCUCAAGGACAUCUUCAGUCAUGCACCAAUGAAAGGGUUGCCAAGACAAGUAUUUGUUCUCACUGAUGGAAGUGUUAGUAAUACAGAAUCUGUGAUUAAGUUGGUCGCAAAGAAUUCCAAUAACUCCAGGU